AACGAACGCUGGCAGCAGGCUUAACACAUGCAAGUCGAACGGGCGUAGCAAUACGUCAGUGGCAGACGGGUGAGUAACACGUGGGAACCUUCCUCGUAGUACGGAACAACUCAGGGAAACUUGAACUAAUACCGUAUACGUCCGAGAGGAGAAAGAUUUAUCGCUAUGAGACGGGCCCGCGUCCGAUUAGGUAGUUGGUGGGGUAACGGCCUACCAAGCCGACGAUCGGUAGCUGAUCUGAGAGGAUGAUCAGCCACACUGGGACUGAGACACGGCCCAGACUCCUACGGGAGGCAGCAGUGGGGAAUCUUGGACAAUAGGCGCAAGCCUGAUCCAGCCAUGCCGCGUGAGUGAAGAAGGCCUUAGGGUUGUAAAGCUCUUUUGCCAGGGACGAUAAUGACGGUACCUGGAGAAUAAGCCCCGGCAAACUUCGUGCCAGCAGCCGCGGU
rnacentral:rRNA from 1 species